UUGUUUAAUGUAAAAGAGGCACUGCGAAGGAUUAUAAGUUCACUAGGUCACAAUUACUCACUAUCAUCGAAAAAUGAGACAGAUAGCAAAAGUUAUGAAUGUAGAACAUAAGUUGACUUGAUAAUUUAGAACAAAAUUAGUCACAUCUUCCAAAUCAAUGGUAAUCUGUUAAUAUUGAAAACAAUGUAAACUUUUACAACCAUUUGGACCUAGACUGUUUUCCAUAUCACUCUCUUUCAUUUGGUGACAAACACAUUUAUUUGUUUAGGAGGUAGAAUCUACCCCAACUGAAAAAUAUAUAUCCAACUUUAGUCAAAAUUCAUUAAAAUGUCUUUCUAAUAAAGCUUUUAUUAUUUUUCCUUUUUUGUUGUCAAGGAUAAUUGUUGAAUACAAAAAGAU
rnacentral:lncRNA from 1 species